UACGUAGGGUGCGAGCGUUGUCCAGAAUUACUGGGCGUAAAGAGCUCGUAGGUGGUUUGUCGCGUUGUUCGUGAAAACCGGGGGCUUAACCCUCGGCGUGCGGGCGAUACGGGCAGACUUGAGUACUGCAGGGGAGACUGGAAUUCCUGGUGUAGCGGUGGAAUGCGCAGAUAUCAGGAGGAACACCGGUGGCGAAGGCGGGUCUCUGG
rnacentral:rRNA from 1 species